rnacentral:rRNA from 1 species
CGCCUGGAACGGUGAGUGGAUGAAAGCUCCGGCGGCAUAGGAUGGGCCUGCGGCGUAUCAGGUUGUAGGGGGUGUAACGUACCCUCUAGCCCUCUACGCGUACGGGUGUUGGGAGACAUAGCCCGGAGAUGGAUUCUGAGACACGAAUCCAGACCCUACGGGGUGCAGCAGGCGCGAAAACUUGGCAAUGCGAGAAAUCGUGACCAGGGAACUCCAAGUGCAUCGGGUAAGACCGGUGCUUUUCUUGACUCUAAAAAGGUCUUGGAAUAAGGGGUGGGUAAGGACGGUGCCAGCCGCCACGGUAAUACCGGCGCCUCAAGUGGUAGUCGCUUUUAUUGGGCCUAAAACGUCCGUAGCCGGUCUGAUACAUUCGUGGGUAAAUCAACCAGCUCAACUGGUUGAAUUCUGCGAGGACGGUCAGACUUGGGACCGGGAGAGGUGUGGGGUACGCUCAGGGUAGGGGUAAAAUCCUGUCAUCCUGAGCGGACCACCUGUUGCGAAGGCGCCACACUAGAACGGAUCCGACGGUCAGGGACGAAGCCUAGGGGCACGAACCGGAUUAGAUACCCGGGUAGUCCUAGGUGUAAACGCUGUGGACUUGAUGUUGGGGGUGCUCCGAGCACUCUCAGUGUCGAAGCGAAGGUGAUAAGUCCACUGCCUGGGAAGUACGGUCGCAAGGCUGAAACUUAAAGGAAUUGGCGGGGGAGCACCGCAACCUGAGGAUUGUGCGGUUUAAUUGGACUCAACGCCGGAA